rnacentral:rRNA from 1 species
AGUGAACGCUGGCGGUAGGCCUAACACAUGCAAGUCGAACGGCAGCACAGUAAGAGCUUGCUCUUACGGGUGGCGAGUGGCGGACGGGUGAGGAAUACAUCGGAAUCUACUUUUUCGUGGGGGAUAACGUAGGGAAACUUACGCUAAUACCUCAUACGACCUACGGGUGAAAGCAGGGGAUCUUCGGACCUUGCGCGAUUGAAUGAGCCGAUGUCGGAUUAGCUAGUUGGCGGGGUAAAGGCCCACCAAGGCGACGAUCCGUAGCUGGUCUGAGAGGAUGAUCAGCCACACUGGAACUGAGACACGGUCCAGACUCCUACGGGAGGCAGCAGUGGGGAAUAUUGGACAAUGGGCGCAAGCCUGAUCCAGCCAUACCGCGUGGGUGAAGCAGGCCUUCGGGUUGUAAAGCCCUUUUGUUGGGAAAGAAAAGCAGCAGGUUAAUACCCCGCUGUUCUGACGGUACCCAAAGAAUAAGCACCGGCUAACUUCGUG